AGCAGAUACAGUGGCUAUACAUCUUGGAAGAUGCUCAUUCCUGUCUCCCUACAACUAUGGCUCGGGAAGGUCCUGAGUCUCAUCUACUGAAAGGCCAGGAGUGUCAGAAUUCAUUUGCUGAAUAAAGAAAAGGAGUUUUACACUCUCAAAGAAGUAAUAAUGCUGCAAUAUGCCUCACUGGAAGCUGUAUUCUAACAAAACAAAGGAAAUACAGGUGUCAAACAUCAUCAAGAAGACUAAUGUCACACUGCUCCUGUGCAAGGAAAGACCUUUUCUCUCACUGGAGCCCAGGCUGCUGGAAAGUGUCUCCUGAAACAACAGGACACAGGGAUAGUCCCACAACAACAUAGCUCACCUGCUGAAACAACCCCACUGAACUAGAUUCUGGAGCAUAGACAGGGAGAGGAGCUGCUAACGGAGAUGUCAAUGUGCAGGGAACACUCUACUUUCUGUCUCCUACAUGCUGGUGCCAAAGAAGAUGUAUGAGUCAUAAAUCAGAGGAAGGACGAUUACAAUGGCAGGAAAGAUGAAGUGAGCAGAAUGUCAUUGGAAUUGGGCCAUUUCUCCAAGCUCUAGGGCUGACGUGAUGCUAUUUGUUGCAUCAUCUAUUCACCUAAUAAAGUGUUCAACAAA